CAGUCGCCACGGUAAUACGGAGGGUGCGAGCGUUAAUCGGAAUUACUGGGCGUAAAGCGUACGCAGGCGGUUUGUUAAGUCAGAUGUGAAAUCCCCGAGCUUAACUCGGGAACUGCAUUUGAAACUGGCAGGCUAGAGUCUCGUAGAGGGGGGUAGAAUUCCAGGUGUAGCGGUGAAAUGCGUAGAGAUCUGGAGGAAUACCGGUGGCGAAGGCGGCCCCCUGGACGAAGACUGACGCUCAGGUACGAAAGCGUGGGGAGCAAACAGGAUUAGAUACCCCAGUAGUCCCUGUCUCUUAUAC
rnacentral:rRNA from 1 species